GUGCCUACGGGAGGCAGCCGUGCGGCCUCUUGUUCCCUUUUCUCGCUCCUGAACCAGCCAAGUAGCGUGAAGGAUGACUGCCCUACGGGUUGUAAACUUCUUUUAUAAAGGAAUAAAGUGAGGCACGUGUGCCUUUUUGUAUGUAAUUUAUGAAUAAGGAUCGGCUAACUCCGUGCCAGCAGCCGCGGUAAUACGGAGGAUCCGAGCGUUAUCCGGAUUUAUUGGGUUUAAAGGGAGCGUAGAUGGGUUGUUAAGUCAGUUGUGAAAGUUUGCGGCUCAACCGUAAAAGUGCAAUUGAUACUGGG
rnacentral:rRNA from 1 species